AUUUCAGUUAGUUGACUGGUUCUAGUAAUCAUUUCAGUAGUGUGACUGGUCUAGUAAUCAUUUCAUUAGUGGUGACUGGUUCUAGUAAUCAUUUCAGUUAGUGUGACUGGUUCUAGUAAUCAUUUCAGUUAGUGUGACUGGUUCUAGUAAUCAUUUCAGUUAGUGUGGACUGGUUCUGUAAUCAUUUCAGUUAGUGCGUACUGGUGUC
rnacentral:lncRNA from 1 species